UACGUAGGGGGCAAGCGUUGUCCGGAAUCAUUGGGCGGAAAGAGCGUGUAGGCGGCCCGAUAAGUCCGCCGUGAAAGUCCAGGGCUCAACCCUGGAAUGCCGGUGGAAACUGUCGGGCUCGAGUUCGGAAGAGGCGAGUGGAAUUCCUGGUGUAGCGGUGGAAUGCGCAGAUAUCAGGAGGAACACCGAUGGCGAAGGCAGUUCUCUGGGCCGUAACUGACGCUGAGGAGCGAAAGCGUGGGGAGCGAACAGG
rnacentral:rRNA from 1 species